UACGUAGGGUGCGAGCGUUAAUCGGAAUUACUGGGCGUAAAGCGUGCGCAGGCGGUCUGUUAAGACCGAUGUGAAAUCCCCGGGCUUAACCUGGGAACUGCAUUGGUGACUGGCAGGCUUUGAGUGUGGCAGAGGGAGGUAGAAUUCCACGUGUAGCAGUGAAAUGCGUAGAGAUGUGGAGGAAUACCGAUGGCGAAGGCAGCCUCCUGGGCCAACACUGACGCUCAUGCACGAAAGCGUGGGGAGCAACAGG
rnacentral:rRNA from 1 species